GUAGCUGAGAUUAUUUACAGGUGACCUCGAAAUGCGUACAUUUCGGGGUGCUUCCAACUCGGAAUGAGUGAAAAUUCGAUUGUGAAUUGAAUUUUGGGGGUAAAGAAUCGCGUCGAGCAAACGGUUCUCGGCCAACGAAAUGGAUAAAAUUGGCUCGACGCGAUUCUUUACCUCCAAAAUUCAAUUCACAAUCGAAUUUUCACGCAUUCCGAGUUGCAAGCACCCCGAGUUGCAUGUAUUUCUAGGUCACCUGUAAAGAAUCUCAGCUAC
rnacentral:pre_miRNA from 1 species